CAAUAGUGGCUUUCGAGAUUCCUGUUGUAUUUAUUUAGGUUCUGGUCUGAAAUUUUGGUCAGUACUUAAACCAUGUUUAUGUUUAAAGUUACGUUGCUAUUUAAUAUUCAGAAAGCUCCCCAAAUUAGGGAUUUUUUUCUCAUGUUAAAGUCAUGCCGUCUGCUGAUUCAAUGAUGAACUGUGAUGACAAAUUUUUCUCACCUGUUCAACGCUUUGCCGUCAAGCGAAUCAUCUGCUUAGCGCACAUUUAACUUCAUCACAACAAAAUACCUUCCACAAAUGCUCAACAGUCAGCUCCACACACACACACUCAAACAUGAACACAUAUUUUGGCGCUAUCGAACAUGACCCAACGCAACAUCGAACCACGAGCCAGCCGACGAACCCACCAAACAACUUCGCCAGCCAGGCGAGCUGCUCGUUAACAAUUUGCAUGGUUUGCUGCGUUGUGCGAGCAUUUUUCUCCAUUAGUUUCGUGCCGGUUUUUGUGCCGUUUAGACGUGUUUGAUAGUUCGAAUUUGGCGAAAAAGGUGAACGCAGACGUUUGAGAAUUUUCGUAUAAAAAUUUCACUACACAAACGCAAGGUGUCCACUGAUGCAGCGUGAAUUUCGCGAGCAACACACCUCAACAAAUAUCGGUAGAUAAAUUAUUCGUUGAAAUUCGGAAAUUACGCGUAUAAUAAAGUGUACGGAUGUGUGGAAAUAUUAAUAAAUUAAAAUUAAUACAAAGUGUUUCAAAAUAUUUGAAGUGUAUGCACGAAGUUGAAUGAGAUUUCUCGUGGUUGUGCAAAGCCAAAAAUACAAAGAAAAUACAAACGAAACAACAACUGCUUAGCGGCGCAACGAAUCAAUCAGGCAAAGCAAAUACACAAUUCGUGCGCCUGAAGGAGAACAAACGCACAUGCACGUACAUACAUGUGUUUAUUUGUUCGUGUGUGCACAUAAGAAAUAACUAGGAAACGAAGACGUUGCUGUUGUUGCUACGGCAGCAGUCACCUGAAUGCUGCUUGCAAUCUUUUGUUUUUGAUAUUUUUCGGUUUUUCUUUUAACAAAAAUCUGGUGUUCAAUCGAGUCUGUGCGUGUUUAUAUUUGUCGGUUCUUGCAUAUUUAUGCCGGUGCGUCGCCGCUAAGAACAGGUAGUAGUUAUUGUACUCAUAUGCUACCUGCUUACUCGCUACGCUGACUGACUCGCGGUCGGACGGACAGACGUGCUAUUGUUUAUCGAUUAUCGACUGAUGCAUAUUAACUGCAACACGUCUGUUGGAUUAUGUUCAUACAAGUAUUGGCUACUUGACAAGUGAGUGCGUGUGUUUAUUGGCGAUUGCAUUUGCUUGCAGCAUUUCUUUGCGUUGUGAAUGAAUAAGAAAGCGUUGUGAAUAAAAUACAAAUUACAACAAAAAUUAUAAUAAGAAAUUGUAAAUGCUAAAUAUAGUGGAGAGAAAAAGUGCAAAAAAGCGAAAAACCGGUCAAAGGAGUUUUGUGCAAAACUAGAAAAACUUACGAAAAGCAAUAAUAAGAAAAACAAGCAACACGUUGCUAGCGCAUGUUGGGCAUUACAUGAGUGCAGCCGAGCUGGAGAAUAAUAAGUAAAUAUUUUCCAACGCGACCCCAAGUCAUACCAAGACAAAACAAAAAACUAACGUUACGAAAAUAUCACCAUAUUUGAGCAUUCGCUGUCCGACAGGAGAUUAAUAUUCUGCGGAAAAACAACAGCUGCUGCCUUUUUAAGGGGUAAGUGUCGAACUACUUUUAUUGUACACAGUUUACUGGCUUGUAGCCUUAAAUUAUAUUACCGCUAGCUUGUCAAGAUUACCAAAUAGAAUAGUCUUAAUAGCCGUAAGCCUUCAGCAAACAAAAUUUUUAGAAACAAUAUAACCUCAAGGACUCAAGUUAUCUUACUGGUACCAUACGAUAUAGUCGUCUCAUAAAAAAUAUAGUUUAAAAGUCUCAUAAAAGAUUUCAAAAUGUAUGCUUAACAUAAUUUAGUCGGAAUCUCCAUCUCCCAAACUGCUUAGAACUCUUUCGUAUAUGAUAGAUCUCUUUUUGAUCCACUUUCUUCUUAAAAAGUUGAGCAUGUUCGCUAUAAGUAAUAUAUCUUUCCAAAGUGUGAAUGAUUCAGAGAUCAAAAAGAGCUGCUGAGGGUUCCUGAGUUUAUUCCAGGCUCAAAUUUCGAUCAAUAAUAGGACUCCAUUUCGGUGCGGAAAGCACUAAUCGAAGUUCUAUCCUAAGGGUAGAUGAUUAUGAUGAUGAUUUUGAUAGCAUUCCGAGGAGCUUAGAAAACUUGACAUUAUCAUUCUUAUUUUCCUUCGGU